GCGACCUCAGGUCAGGCGGGGCCACCCGCUGAUUUUAANCAUAAA
rnacentral:rRNA from 1 species